AUUGAACGCUGGCGGCAGGCCUAACACAUGCAAGUCGAGCGGAGCGGCGGACGGGUGGGUAAUGCCUAGGAAUCUGCCUGGUAGCGGGGGAUAACGUCCGUAAACGGACGCUAAUACCGCAUCCUAUCAGAUGAGCCUAGAUCGGAUUAGCUAGUGGGUGGGGUAAAGGCCUACCAAGGCGACGAUCCGUAACUGGUGUGAGAGGAUGACCAGUCACACUGGAACGGAGAAACGGACCAGACUCCUACGGGAGGCAGCAGUGGGGAAUAUUGGAAAAUGGGCGAAAGCCGGAUCCAGCCAUGCCGCGUGGGUGAAGAAGGUCUUCGGAUUGUAAAGCACUUUAAGUUGGGAGGCGUUACCAACAGAAUAAGCACCGGCUAACUUCGUGCCAGCAGCCGCGGUAAUUC
rnacentral:rRNA from 1 species